AGGACGAACGCUGGCGGCGUGCUUAACACAUGUAAGUCGAGCGGAAAGGCCCUUCGGGGUACUCGAGCGGCGAACGGGUGAGUAACACGUGAGUAAUCUGCCCCUAGCUCUGGGAUAGCUCCGGGAAACCGGGAUUAAUACCAGAUACGACCACUUUAGACAUCUGUUGUGGUGGAAAGAAUUUUGGCUAGGGAUGAGCUCGCGGCCUAUCAGCUUGUUGGUGAGGUAACGGCUCACCAAGGCGACGACGGGUAGCCGGCCUGAGAGGGCGACCGGCCACACUGGGACUGAGACACGGCCCAGACUCCUACGGGAGGCAGCAGUGGGGAAUAUUGCGCAAUGGGCGAAAGCCUGACGCAGCGACGCCGCGUGGGGGAUGAAGGCCUUCGGGUUGUAAACCCUUUCAGCAGGACGAAGCGAAAGUGACGGUACCUGCAGAAGAAGACGCCGGCUAACUACGUGCCAGCAGCCGC
rnacentral:rRNA from 1 species